GCUGUCUCAGUGCAAGCCUAAUUAAAGUGAAACCGCAAAUGGCUCAUUAAAUCAGUUAUGGUUCAUUAGAUGAUACAUUAUUUUACUUGGAUAACUGUGGUAAUUCUAGAGCUAAUACAUGCAAAUUGAGUUCCCAUCGGUGACGGUAGGAACGCUUUUAUUAGAUCAAAACCAAUACGUUUGCUUCGGCAUACGAUUUCAAUGGUGAUUCUGAAUAACUUUUUGAUGAUCGUACGGUCCUUGUAUCGACGACAAAUCUUUCAAAUGUCUGCCUUAUCAACUGUCGAUGGUAGGCUCUGCGCCUACCAUGGUUGUAACGGGUAACGGGGAAUCAGGGUUCGAUUCCGGAGAGGGAGCCUGAGAAACGGCUACCACAUCCAAGGAAGGCAGCAGGCGCGCAAAUUACCCACUCCCGGCACGGGGAGGUAGUGACGAAAAAUAACGAUACGGGACUCAUCCGAGGCCCCGUAAUCGGAAUGAGMACACUUUAAAUMYUUUAACRAGUAYCYAWUGGAGGGCAAGUCUGGUGCCAGCAGCCGCGGUAAUUCCAGCUCCAUUGGCGUAUAUUAAAGUUGUUGCGGUUAAAAAGCUCGGUAGUUGGUAUCAUGUGUMUCGGACGGUCGGUUCGCCNCNCNCGGUGUUCAACUGACCGGUCCGGACGUCCUGCCGGUGGGACCCGGUUCGCGCCGGGCCCCGU
rnacentral:rRNA from 1 species